AUUGAACGCUGGCGGCAUGCUUUACACAUGCAAGUCGAACGGUAACAGGCCGCAAGGUGCUGACGAGUGGCGAACGGGUGAGUAAUGCAUCGGAACGUGCCCAGUCGUGGGGGAUAACUACUCGAAAGAGUAGCUAAUACCGCAUACGAUCUAUGGAUGAAAUCGGGGGACCGUAAGGCCUCGCGCGAUUGGAGCGGCCGAUGUCAGAUUAGGUAGUUGGUGGGGUAAAGGCUCACCAAGCCAACGAUCUGUAGCUGGGGUGAGAGGACGACCAGCCACACUGGGACUUAGGCACCGCCCAAACCCCUUCGGGAAGGCACAGGUGGGAAAUUUGGACAAUGGGCGCAAGCCUGAUCCAGCAAUGCCGCGUGCAGGAAGAAGGCCUUCGGGUUGUAAACUGCUUUUGUACGGAACGAAACGGCUCUGGUUAAUACCCGGGGCUAAUGACGGUACCGUAAGAAUAAGCACCGGCUAACUACGUG
rnacentral:rRNA from 1 species